CAGCCUACAGAACAGAAGCAGAAAGCACGGCUGUAAACAACUGCAGCCUGCAGCCCUUGUGCAGAGGACACAGUGACUACAUACGAUUUUAAUGGCUCAACCUGUGUGAACCUGCAAAGUAGACCUGUUCCUUACGAGGGACAAUGAAUGUAGCACCUAAGCACAGCCUGGCAUAAAAGUGCAGGGAACCACAAUCCUCACGGACAAGGACAAGGACAUCUACCAUGCACACAAUCUCCACCCUUUCUGUAUUCAUUGAAAAAUAGAGCCUUUCUCCCUUAGCUAUAAAAUGAGCAUAGUCCUCUUUCCCCAGUGCCCUUGAGAAAACGUGGUGAGCUCUUGGUGAGAUCACACUAAAUAAUCCUGAGGUAAGAGGGGGAUAGGAAGGGAGGGUUCACAGACCAAAGGAGGGAAGAAUAUCUGAAACAGGUUGGUGAAAGACCCUUACACUAAAAAAAUCCUGCCUCGAACAGAAUAAAGUUAAAUCUGCUCACAGACACAGGUUAUAUAAAAGAAAACUACAAUUAUAAAAGUAACGGUUUUAAAAUGUUGUCUCCAUCCAUCUAGCUGUUCUGACAAAAGAUAUGACAAUGGGUCCUCAUAAGGACCAGAGAGGUUCUGGAGGCUGGAAAAUGCAAAUUCAGGCCACUGGUAGGUUUUUCUCUGCCAGGUACAGGCCUGGUAUCUGCUAAGAGUACCUUAAAUCUUUGGACUUGAAAGUAUAAAGACAAAAAAGGUUAAGAUUCUAAUUCUGUAUGGGUGACAAGCUUAAAGGCCCCACUUCUUAAUUAUAUUGUGGGGGAUUAAGUUUGAACAGGAGUUUUGUGGGUUACACAAACAUUCAAGUCAUAGCAACAAUCUUUCAUAGCAAAGAAAGAGCAUCUGAACCUUAACUGAGUGGCAAGUAGAAGACAAAAGACACAGUAACACUUAGGUAAACGGUCAAACUAGAGUUUUACACCCGCUAAACUACCAAACAAAAUGGGUUAAAUUCAUGAGCACCACUGUAAACUGGGCAGAGGCAUGUGCACAGUCUAUGCCAGCACCAGCAGAUGACACAUUCUCAAGCUCCCGUUCAAGGCUUUAACAACACAGCUGUGACAGUUACCUGGGAGAUGGGCCACUGAGCAUGGGGUGGGGAAGUUGAUUAUGUUAACUGCUGCCUGCUGUGUGUGGCUCCUUUCUUGACAAGGAUCCUGUCCUAUAUGAAUGGAGAAAGGAAGGUGAGCGUCAGUGUGCAUUCAUCGGUUCCUGUUCCUGACUGUGACAGGAUCAACUGCUCAAGACGCCUGCCACCUGGAUGGACCGUGCUCUUGAACAACAUGGUGUUGUAAUGUUUAUGUCAAGAAUCUCCUGUCUUAGCAAGAUCCAGGCCGACAGUUUUCCUUUGGUGGUAACCUCAUUGUCUUCUCACCACUAAGACCCUGAAGAGAACACCAGGAGGGCUUUUAAUUUAAAAACUAUUGCAAACAUUCUUUUCUUCACAUUGUUACUUCUUUGAUACAGUCUUAAAUUGUUGAAAAUAUGCACUGGUAUGCACUUCUCUUUGGUCUGUUUAUAUUGCAUUGCAGUGUUUUAAUGUUCCCUGUUCAUGGAUUUUAAUGGUGAUACUGUACAAACCCUGUAGGUUAUUUAAAAUAUUAAACGUGAACCAAGGUUUUGCAUCUGCAAAAAAAAAAAAAAAAAAAAAAAAAAAAUCUCCUGUCUUAGUUUGUAUAAACGGUUCUUACCAUUUACUCUCUGCCUUGUUAAUAACUGUUGAUCACCCAAUGGCUGUGCAAAACAGAGAAUAGGGCAGGACUUCCACCAGCCAGGGGAAGGAGGAUGAGAGAGAAAGAGAUCAGCCAGGAGGAGUAAGGAGGAAAGAAUUCUUGAGAGUUCAGCAGAAAUAUGGAAGUCCCAAAUUGCAAGUACUAGCAGGAUCCAGGCUGGUAGGUAGCAGACUAGUUUCGGGGUUAAAAUAAACUGCUCAGAUAUUGAGGACCCUUGGAAUAAUCUUGGUCUCCCUGUGUUGUUAUUGGGAACUAGCUAGGGUAAAGUAAUACAGCUGCUGUAUUAAUUUAAUACAUAUUUACAUUAAAUAAUUCAUUUUUGCA
rnacentral:sRNA from 1 species